rnacentral:rRNA from 1 species
CAACACUCAAGCUCUGCUUGGUAUUGGGCUUCAUACCAGUAAAAUGGUAGGCCUCAAAGUCAGUGGCGGUGCGUUGGGUUCUGAACGUAGUAAUAUAUUUCGUUACAGAUAUCCAGCGCGCUUCUGCCAUUAAACCCCAAUUUCUAGGUNC